AGUGGUUGCUACCCGGUGCCAGCUGAAGGUCCGUGCAGUCUUUCUUUUCUGUUGAAUUAAUUUGAUUCUAUUUUUGAAACUCACAGUGUUUCUAAGGGAGACCUGGUGACGCAAUGACGUCAAUGCAGGUCAACAAGACACUGGAGGAUCGGAGCAGCACCGCCAGGGUCUGGCUACUGUCAAAUACUAAAACUCCCCACACAUCCAACCCAUCACACCCGGCUGCUACCCGAACAUGUUUGUCGCCCACAAAAUAGAAAGUAUAAGCUAGCCGCGGAGGGGAAAGGAAAAAAAAUGCAGCCUAGACAGACACACGGAGAGAGGUUAUGGGGAACUCGCGUCGCCCGGAUAGGAGAAAUUCUCCGAAAGGAGGAGACGAGAUCCAAAACCGACGAAACGAGGGGACUUGAUGUAACAGCCAAAGUACCAACCAUCCACUCCUACAUUAUAAAAUGUGUUGUUAUUACUCUUCACCUACAGCCCCUGAAGAGACUAUAAACGUGACGUCAAUGGGAGAAGACUGACGCGGCCAAAAGAGAGGAAAAACUCAACCAUCUGAGCACAAGCCACAUAGAGCAGCUUUAAUCGCUCUCGUUCUUGACAUUUCUAGCUUCAAAUGGACGCUAUAAAGGGCAAUUAUCUCCCUUUUAUCCCGACACCUCUAUAGCAAUAAAUAAAGGUAUUAAAAAAAAGCACGCACAAUAUUGGCUGGCGUGUUAUAAUGCUCUGGUGUGUGUGUGUGUGUGUGUGUGUUUUAAUGUUGUUUUUCCACAAGUACUUCCAAGGAACAUGCAUUGCAGUGCGCUUGCAGUGUUGCACGUAAGGAACUUGCUGCAAGCGGGUUGAUAAAUAUAUAUAAAUAUAAAACUACUUGCAGGGAGGACCUCAUAUGUACGCAGAUACACAGCUCGGGUGAGAUGUGCAAUAAUAACGGGAGUGUUAAAAAAAAAAGGCGUUGGGUUUAAAAUCUCUGCAAUGAUGUAACUAAAGCGGUCAGAUGCAAGUGGUGCAGAGAUGGUAGGGGAAAAAAAUCUCAAUGUUCACUUAAUGGUUUGUACGUCACGUUCCAGCAAAAUGCCUCUGUGAGUAGUUUUUUUUGAGACCACAUGCUAAAAAUAGCAGCGGGGUUUGAUCGCACUCCAGAAAUAGACGGAGGGAUUCACUUGUAUAAAAAGAGAGCGCGGGUGGAGGAGUGCCUGAAUGCGGCUGCUAUAAAUGCAACUCAAUCAAGAAAUUAAUUAUUGGAACCCUUUUUUCCCCCUCUCAGCAGAUCAACCUUAAGCGACGGUGAUUCGGGGCUUAUAUUUCAGAACUGAAAUGUCAACCAUGUGAUCUGAGGUAAACAAGUGGUUCGGAGAGGCAAUCGCUCACGACCAAGGAUGACUUGCUUCCUCUUCGGCUCCGUGGUUUUCAGGAUGACUGAUAAGGUAAA